UAUAUAUAUAUAUAUAUUUUUCUUUUUCUACCAACUUUUGAAUGAAAUAUCACAACUAUAGUUACUCAACCCCACAUAACUCCAAACAAGACUCUUUCAAUCCUAUGAAUGGGUGAUAAUAUUAUUUUUCACUUUCAAACUUGUAAUGAGUUUAAACAAUUAAUGAGAUAAUAGGCUCAAGGGGAUUUUCAAAUAAGGGAUGAUAUUAUCCAGGGUUGACUUUUUGGCUAAU
rnacentral:lncRNA from 1 species